rnacentral:rRNA from 1 species
UGGGGAAUCUUCCGCAAUGGACGAAAGUCUGACGGAGCAACGCCGCGUGAGUGAUGACGGUCUUCGGAUUGUAAAGCUCUGUUAAUCGGGACGAAUGGUUUGUGUGCAAAUAGUGCAUAGACAUGACGGUACCGGAAUAGAAAGCCACGGCUAACUACGUGCCAGCAGCCGCGGUAAUACGUAGGGCGUGAGCGUCGUCCGGAAUUAUUGGGCGUAAAGGGCUUGUAGGCGGUUGGCCGCGUCUGCCGUGAAAUCCUCUGGCUUAACUGGGGGAGUGCGGUGGGUACGGGUUGACUUGAGUGCGGUAGGGGAGACUGGAAUUCCUGGUGUAGCGGUGGAAUGCGCAGAUAUCAGGAGGAACACCGGUGGCGAAGGCGGGUCUCUGGGCCGUUACUGACGCUGAGGAGCGAAAGCGUGGGGAGCGAACAGG